GUUCUCUCAAGCUGUGGCUGGUCAUUCAUCUCCUUUGAGUUCCUGUGGCAUGCUUUAAGAAUUUGAAUCAAAUAACAUAUUGCUUUCCUCUGCUGGGCAUGAGUCCUGACCUUACAAGCCGUCAUCACAUGUCCUUAUCAUGAAAUGCUCUGAGGAAGUUGAGGAAGUUCACUCUAAUAACCCAGAUUGUGAAUCUGUAACAGCAAAACUCAUACAAUCAACUGAACGGAACUAAAGGUUUAUUUGAGUGCUCCAAGUUCUCUCACUCUCUGUGCAGUGUCUGUCUGUGGGUUUCUGCAUUUUUUUCCAUCUCCUGCAGGAAGAAGCUUCUCUGAUGAUGGAAGUCCCUACAAAAACUUCACUUACUCUUCCUGAGACUUAGAGGCCGGCCCCCAGCUCCCAUCUUGCUCCGGACUUCCCUUUUGGAAAACUGGUGAGUGCCCUUCCUUGCCCCAGACCCCAUCCCUGGGCACCAGCCACUCCAGGGAAGACCUGCCCAACUUGGCCCCA